rnacentral:rRNA from 1 species
UACAGAGGGGGCAAGCGUUGUUCGGAAUUACUGGGCGUAAAGGGCGCGUAGGCGGCCUGUUAAGUCGAACGUGAAAUCCCUGGGCUCAACCCAGGAACUGCGUCCGAUACUGGCAGGCUUGAAUCCGGGAGAGGGAUGUGGAAUUCCAGGUGUAGCGGUGAAAUGCGCAGAUAUCGGGAGGAACACCAGCGGCGAAGGCGGCACUCUGGGCUGGAACUGACGCUGAGGAGCGAAAGCGUGGGUAGCAAACAGG